UGAAUACGAGAUGCUACGGCGUCGAAGCAGUCUAUGUCAGACUUCCAAGAAAAGCUUGCACUGUCAAAAACAAAUAAUGCCUGUACCAUAACCGACACAGGUGGGUAGGUAGAGUAUACUAAGGGGCGCGAGAUAACUCUCUCUAAGGAACUCGGCAAAAUGACUCCGUAACUUCGGGAGAAGGAGUGCCUUAUUUUUAAGGUUGCAAUAACAAGAUCCAAGCAACUGUUUACCAAAAACACAGGUCUCCGCGAAGUCGUAAGACGAUGUAUGGGGGCUGACGCCUGCCCAGUGCCAGAAGGUUAAAGAAGUUGGUUAGCAUUCGCGAAGCUGAUAACUGAAGCCCUGGUGAACGGCGGCCGUAACAAUAACGGUCCUAAGGUAGCGAAAUUCCUUGUCGGGUAAGUUCCGACCCGCACGAAAGGCGUAAUGAUUUGGAUACUGUCUCGGAGAGGGGCUCGGUGAAAUAGACUUGUCUGUGAAGAUGCGGGCUACCUGCACCUGGACAGAAAGACCCUAUGAAGCUUUACUGUAACUUGAAAUUGAAAUUGGACUUUAUUUGCGCAGUAUAGGUGGGAGGCCUUGAGAAGAAUCUUGCGGGACUCUUGGAGCCAUCAGUGAGAUACCACUCUUGUAAUGUUAGAUUUCUAACUUUGUAUCAUUCUCUGGUCAAAGAACAGUUUCAGGCGGGCAGUUUGACUGGGGCGGUCGCCUCCCAAACGGUAACGGAGGCGCACAAAGGUUUCCUCUGAACGGGUAGAAAUCGUAUCUAGAGUGUAAAGGCAUAAGGAAGCUUGACUGUGAGACCUACAAGUCGAGCAGGGACGAAAGUCGGUCUUAGUGAUCUGACGGUGCUGAGUGGAAAGGCCGUCACUCAACGGAUAAAAGUUACUCUAGGAUAACAGGCUGAUCUCCCCCAAGAGUUUACAUCGACGGGGAGGUUUGGCACCUCGAUGUCGGCUCAUCGCAUCCUGGGGCGGUAGUACGUCCCAAGGGUUGGGCUGUUCGCCCAUGAAAGCGGUACGCGAGCUGGGUUCAGAACGUCGUGAGACAGUUCGGUCCAUAUCCGGUGUAGGCGUUAGAAUAUUGAGAGGAGCCUUCUCUAGUACGAGAGGACCGAGAAGGACAUACCUCUGGUGUACCAGUUAUCGUGCCAACGGUAAACGCUGGGUAGCUAUGUAUGGAGUGGAUAACCGCUGAAAGCAUCUAAGUGGGAAGCCCACCUCAAGAUAAG
rnacentral:rRNA from 1 species